rnacentral:rRNA from 1 species
GACGAACGCUGGCGGCGUGCUUAACACAUGCAAGUCGAACGGAAAGGCCCUGCGUUUGUGGGGUGCUCGAGUGGCGAACGGGUGAGUAACACGCGAGUAACCUGCCCUUGACUUUGGGAUAACUUCAGGAAACUGGGGCUAAUACCGGAUAGGAGCUCCUGCUGCAUGGUGGGGGAUGGAAAGUUACGGCGGUUGGGGAUGGACUCGCGGCUUAUCAGCUAGUUGGUGGGGUAGUGGCUUACAACGGCUUUGACGGGUAGCCGGCCUGGGAGGGUGACCGGCCACAUUGGGCCUGAGAUACGGCGCAGACUCCUACGGGCGGCAGCAGUGGGGAAUAUUGCACAGUGGGCGCACGCGUGUUACAGCAGCGCCGCGUUCGGGAUGACGGCUUUCGGGUUAUAAACCGCUUUCGAAUGUGCCGAGGAGUGAGUGACGGUACUGGGUAAAGAAGCACCGGCUAACUACGUG